CGAGGAACUUUACCUGGGCUCAAACGUCGGAGGACGUGUGGAGAAAUCCGCAUUUCCCUCGGGACUUCCGACGAGGUGCUGCAUGGUUGUCGUCAGCUCGUGCCGUGAGGUGUCGGCUUAAGUGCCAUAACGAGCGCAACCCCCAUCUACAGUUGCUAACAGGUGAAGCUGAGGACUCUGUGGAGACUGCCGGCGCAAGCUGAGAGGAAGGCGGGGAUGACGUCAAAUCAGCACGGCCCUUACGUCCGGGGCGACACACGUGUUACAAUGGCAGGUACAGCGGGAAGCCACUUGGCGACAAGGAGCGGAACCCGAAAACCUGUCUCAGUUCGGAUUGGAGUCUGCAACCCGACUCCAUGAAGCUGGAUUCGCUAGUAAUCGCGCAUCAGCCACGGCGCGGUGAAUACGUUCCCGGGCCUUGUACACACCGCCCGUCAAGCCAUGGAAGCCGGGAGUGCCUGAAGUGCGUGAGCGCAAGCAGCGCCCUAGGGUAAAACCGGUGACUGGGGCUAAGUCGUAACAAGGUAACCGU
rnacentral:rRNA from 1 species